GUUGAAAGACGGUUUCCUCUUCGGAGGCACCCUGCACAGGUGCUGCAUGGCUGUCGUCAGCUCGUGUCGUGAGAUGUUGGGUUAAGUCCCGCAACGAGCGCAACCCUUAUCCCUAGUUGCCAUCAUUAAGUUGGGCACUUUAAGGAAACUGCCGGUGAUAAGCCGGAGGAAGGUGGGGAUGACGUCAAGUCCUCAUGGCCCUUACAGGCUGGGCUACACACGUGCUACAAUGGCAUCUACAGUGGGCAGCUAUUCCGCAAGGAUGCGCUAAUCUCCAAAAGAUGUCUCAGUUCGGAUUGUCCUCCGCAACUCGAGGGCAUGAAGGCGGAAUCGCUAGUAAUCGCGGAUCAGCAUGCCGCGGUGAAUACGUUCCCAGGCCUU
rnacentral:rRNA from 1 species